GAUUAGCUCAGUUGGUCAGAGCAUACUGCUAAUAACACCAGGGCGCAGCUUCGAUCCCUGUAUGGGCCA